CAGGACGAUUGCGUAGCCUCUUCACGUACCCCGGUUGUAAUUAUUUCGUUUAAAUCACCAUUCUGAGAGAAAUUAUUACAUAUCCAUCAUUUUCUGACUGCUCAUAUUGUGAUUUUUUGAAGGCAGGAAAUCUUAACAGGACUUUCUGACUUUAUCCCUGAUUCAAGGGUUAUUUUCUUGAACCCAGGAAACUCUAUACAAGACUUUCUGACUUUAUCCCUGAUUCAAGGGUUAUUUUCUCAAACCCAGGAAAUUCUAUACAAG